GUGCUCGCUUUGGCAGCACAUAUACUGAAAUUGGGAAUGACUCAGAGAUUAGCAUGGCCUGCUCUAAGGACGACACACAAAUUCAUGAAGCGUUCCAUAUUUUU